rnacentral:misc_RNA from 1 species
UUAGCUCAUUUGAACUGUUAGAAGGAAUGAGAUUUGCUUUUAUAACAAUUACAGUGAACUUGGAAGUGGCUUCCUUUGUGAAAUUCUGGAAUUGACUAAUUUUUUGAAAUUGACAUGACUUUUCAUUGAAAAGUGUCUUAAUUUGGACAACACUAAAAACAUUGGCAAGACAACUUUGGAUUCCUGAUGUUUUUAUCUCAGCUUUCCUGGACUUGCAAUUUCAGGU